CAGCAGCCGCGGGAAUACGGAGGGUGCAAGCGUUAUCCGGAUUCACUGGGUUUAAAGGGUGCGUAGGCGGAUCUGUAAGUCCGUGGUGAAAUCUCCAGGCUUAACCUGGAAACUGCCAUGGAUACUAUAGAUCUUGAAUGUUGUGGAGGUUAGCGGAAUAUGUCAUGUAGCGGUGAAAUGCAUAGAUAUGACAUAGAACACCAAUUGCGAAGGCAGCUGGCUACACAAAUAUUGACGCUGAGGCACGAAAGCGUGGGGAUCAAACAGGAUUAGAUACCCGGGUAGUCCCUGUCUCUUAUAU
rnacentral:rRNA from 1 species